UGGUUGUCGUCACGCUCGUGUCGUGAGAUGUUGGGUUAAGUCCCGCAACGAGCGCAACCCUUGAUCUUAGUUGCCAUCAUUAAGUUGGGCACUCUAAGGUGACUGCCGGUGACAAACCGGAGGAAGGUGGGGAUGACGUCAAAUCAUCAUGCCCCUUAUGACCUGGGCUACACACGUGCUACAAUGGACGGUACAAAGAGCUGCAAGACCGCGAGGUGGAGCUAAUCUCAUAAAACCGUUCUCAGUUCGGAUUGUAGGCUGCAACUCGCCUACAUGAAGCUGGAAUCGCUAGUAAUCGCGGAUCAG
rnacentral:rRNA from 1 species